AGAGUUUGAUCAUGGCUCAGAACGAACGCUGGCGGCGUGCUUAACACAUGCAAGUCGAGUGCGCGUCUGUAGCAAUACAGAUGGCGCACGGCGCACGGGUGCGUAACACGUGGGUAAUCUGCCCUUCGAUGGGGAAUAACCUCGCGAAAGCGAGGCUAAUUCCGCAUAACAUUCCUAGGACUUCGGUCUCUGGACUCAAAGCCGUAAGGCGUCGAUGGAGGAACCCGCGCACGAUUAGCUAGUUGGUGAGGUAACGGCUCACCAAGGCUAUGAUCGUUAGCUGGUCUGAGAGGAUGGCCAGCCACACUGGAACUGAGACACGGUCCAGACUCCUACGGGAGGCAGCAGUGGGGAAUCUUGCACAAUGGGCGAAAGCCUGAUGCAGCGACGCCGCGUGGGGGAUGAAGCAUUUCGGUGUGUAAACCCCUUUCGACCGGGAAGAAUGCCUCGCAAGAGGACUGACGGUACCGGUAUAAGAAGCCCCGGCUAACUACGUGCCAGCAGCCGCGGUAAGACGUAGGGGGCCAGCGUUGUUCGGAAUUACUGGGUGUAAAGGGUUCGUAGGCGGUGUGGCAAGUUGGGAGUGAAAUCUCUGGGCUUAACCCAGAGGCUGCUUCCAAAACUGCUGUGCUUGAGUGUGGGAGAGGUGCGUGGAAUUGCAGGUGUAGCGGUGAAAUGCGUAGAUAUCUGCAGGAACACCCGUGGCGAAAGCGGCGCACUGGACCACAACUGACGCUGAGGAACGAAAGCUAGGGGAGCAAACAGGAUUAGAUACCCCGGUAGUCC
rnacentral:rRNA from 1 species